rnacentral:rRNA from 1 species
UACGUAGGGGGCAAGCGUUGUCCGGAUUUAUUGGGUUUAAAGGGUGCGUAGGCGGCCCGUUAAGUCAGUGGUGAAAGCCUCCAGCUCAACUGGAGAACUGCCAUUGAUACUGGCGGGCUUGAGUACAGACGAGGUAGGCGGAAUUGAUUGUGUAGCGGUGAAAUGCAUAGAUACAAUCAAGAACACCGAUUGCGUAGGCAGCUUACUAGGCUGUAACUGACGCUGAGGCACGAAAGCGUGGGGAGCGAACAGG